CGUACUUAAAACUGCAGAACUUCCGUAAAAUAAUGGAAAAUUCGUGGUCUACAUCGAUUGAAAAGUUGAUGGUAUGGCGGGCAGGUAGUUGGAAUAAAUACGAUUCUAAAAUUACGAAGUGGACACUGAGAAUGGUCUACGAUGUUCUUAUAAUUGCAUCAAAUACAAAAGUAUAUGAAACACUAAGCCUAUACAAUAAAAUUAAAGGGUUUUAUAAAGGCGACGUCUUGAUACUAAUUGUAAGCAAUCCAGCUCAAGAGGUAAAACCGGCACUCUCGACUUACCUACAGAUUUCAAUAGCUUCGUAAAGCUAUGUCUCUUGGACCCAAAAAUGCCUUUAAUAAUUAAUGAAACGCAGAAAAUUAUAGAAGAAUUAAAGAAAAUUUAAAAG